CGAGUUCUGAUUUCUGGGAAGGGAAGGGAGCAUAAGGCGUUUAGCUAAAACAGAAAUGUUUGGAAAGGAGAUGUGGAGUCAGAGAAGAAAAGAGAGGGACCAAGGUCCUGCACAGUAUCCGGCAGUGGCUGGCCCAAGGUCUCUGGCAGGAGGGCAGUGACAGCGCUGGCGGCCACAGGGACAGCGCCGAAGAUGAAGAGAGGCAUGGAGGGGUAGAACUCGGCGGUCAUGCUCACCAGCGGGCUCACGAUGCUGCCCACCCGGGCCAUGGUGCUGCCCAUGCCCAGGCCUGUCUGCCUGUGGUCAGGAUGCAGAUGCCUGCCAGCAGCAGGGAGGCCAACUGUGCAGGCCGGCGGCCCAGGGAGUUGAUGACGAGGAAGCAUACGAACUUGGCUGGUAGGUCCACAGCACCGAAGAUCACCUGGAUAAGAGAGCUGUGAAUCCCUGGAUUUCUUUCUGGACUUGAGAGAUGACUUCAGG